rnacentral:rRNA from 1 species
AUUGAACGCUGGCGGCAGGCCUAACCCAUGCAAGUCGACCGGAGUGGAAGAGGGGUGAGUAUUGCGUAGAAAUCUGCCUGGAAGGGGGGGAUAACUUCCAGAACAGGGCGCUAACACCGCAUGCUAGCAGAUGCACCUAGGGCGGAUUAGCUAGGUGGUGGGGUCAAGGCCGACCAAGGCGACGAUCCGUAACUGGUAUGAGAGGAUGAUCAGCCACACUGGAACUGAGACACGGUCCAGACUCCUACGGGAGGCAGCAGUGGGGAAUAUUGGACAAUGGGCGAAAGCCUGAUCCAGCCAUGCCGCGUGUGUGAAGAAGGUCUUCGGAUUGUAAAGCACUUUAAGUUGGGAGGCGUUACCAACAGAAUAAGCACCGGCUAACUGCGUGCCAGCAGCCGCGGUAAUUC